rnacentral:rRNA from 1 species
GAGUUUGAUCGUGGCUCAGGAUGAACGCUGGCGGCGUGCUUAACACAUGCAAGUCGAACGAAGCGCUUAAACAGAUUUCUUCGGAUUGAAGUUUUGCGACUGAGUGGCGGACGGGUGAGUAACGCGUGGGUAACCUGCCUCAUACAGGGGGAUAACAGUUAGAAAUGACUGCUAAUACCGCAUAAGCGCACGGUGCUGCAUGGCACAGUGUGAAAACUCCGGUGGUAUGAGAUGGACCCCGCGUCUGAUUAGCUAGUUGGUGAGGUAACGGCCACCAAGGCGACGAUGCAUAGCCGGCCUGAGAGGGCGACGCCACAUUGGGACUGAGACACGGCCAAACUCUACGGGAGCAGCAGUAGGAAUUUUCGCAA